rnacentral:rRNA from 1 species
AACUGUUUAAAAGAUGUUCUGCUAUCACUCUUGGGAUGGACCUGCGGUGCAUUAGCUAGUUGGUAGGGGUAACGGGCCUACCAAGGCGAUGAUGCAUAGCCCGAGUUGAGAGACUGAUCGGGCCACAUUGGGACUGAGACACGGGCCCAAACUCCUACGGGAGGCGGCAGUAGGGAAUCUUCCACAAUGGACGCAAGUCUGAUGGAGCAAACGCCGCGUGAGUGAAGAAGGGUUUCGGCUCGUAAAAAGCUCUGUUGUUGGUGAAGAAGGACAGGGGUAGUAACUGACCCUUUGUUUGACGGUAAUCAAUUAGAAAGUCACGGGCUAACUACGUGCCAGCAGCCGCGGUAAAU